UACGUAGGCAGCAAGCGUUGUUCGGAAUUACUGGGCGUAAAGAGUGUGUAGGCGGUGUUCUAAGUUUGGUGUGAAAUCUCCCGGCUCAACUGGGAGGGUGCGCCGAAGACUGGAAGGCUUGAGUAUGGGAGAGGUAAGCGGAAUUCCUGGUGUAGCGGUGAAAUGCGUAGAUAUCAGGAGGAACACCUGCGGUGUAGACGGCUUACUGGACCAUAACUGACGCUGAGGCACGAAAGCGUGGGUAGCAAACAGG
rnacentral:rRNA from 1 species